rnacentral:miRNA from 8 species
GGGUCCGGAUGGUGCAAGUUG